AUUGAACGCUGGCGGCAGGCCUAACACAUGCAAGUCGGACGGUAGCACAGAGGAGCUUGCUCCUUGGGUGACGAGUGGCGGACGGGUGAGUAAUGUCUGGGGAUCUGCCCGAUAGAGGGGGAUAACCACUGGAAACGGUGGCUAAUACCGCAUAACGUCGCAAGACCAAAGAGGGGGACCUUCGGGCCCCUCACUAUCGGAUGAACUCAGAUGGGAUUAGCUAGUAGGCGGGGUAAUGGCCCACCUAGGCGACGAUCCCUAGCUGGUCUGAGAGGAUGACCAGCCACACUGGAACUGAGACACGGUCCAGACUCCUACGGGAGGCAGCAGUGGGGAAUAUUGCACAAUGGGCGCAAGCCUGAUGCAGCCAUGCCGCGUGUAUGAAGAAGGCCUUCGGGUUGUAAAGUACUUUCAGCGGGGAGGAAGGCGGUGAGGUUAAUAACCUUGCCGAUUGACGUUACCCGCAGAAGAAGCACCGGCUAACUCCGUGCCAGCAGCCGCCGUAA
rnacentral:rRNA from 1 species